rnacentral:rRNA from 1 species
GAUGAACGCUGGCGGCGUGCCUAAUACAUGCAAGUCGAGCGAACAGACGAGGAGCUUGCUCCUUCGACGUUAGCGGCGGACGGGUGAGUAACACGUAGGUAACCUACCUAUAAGACUGGGAUAACUUCGGGAAACCGGAUCUAAUACCGGAUAAUAUUUCGAACCGCAUGGUUCGAUAGUGAAAGUUGGCUUUGCUAUCUCUUAUAGAUGGUCCUGCGCCUGAUUAUCUAGUUGGUAAGGUAACGGGUUACCAAGGCAACGAUACGUAACCGACCUGAGAGGGUGAUCGGCCACACUGGAACUGAGACACGGUCCAGAGUCCUACGGGAGGCAGCAGUAGGGAAUCUUACGCAAUGGGCGGAAGCCUGACGGAGCAACGCCGCGUGAGUGAUGAAGGUCUUCGGAUCGUAAAACUCUGUUAUUAGGGAAGAACAAACGUGUACGUAACUGUGCACGUCUUGACGGUACCUAAUCAGAAAGCAACGGCUAACUACGUG